rnacentral:rRNA from 1 species
UACGUAGGGGGCAAGCGUUGUCCGGAUUUAUUGGGCGUAAAGAGCGUGUAGGCGGCCAUACAGGUCCGUUGUGAAAACUCGAGGCUUAACCUCGAGACGUCGAUGGAAACCGUAUGGCUAGAGUCCGGAAGAGGAGAGUGGAAUUCCUGGUGUAGCGGUGAAAUGCGCAGAUAUCAGGAAGAACACCAGUGGCGAAGGCGAUCUUCUGGACGGAUACUGACGCUGAGGCGCGAAAGCUAGGGGAGCAAACGGG